UGUUGCCACAACAAUACCUAAUUACACAGGAAAACAGUUCAAAUGAAUGAAUUUUCGAAUGAAGAAAACAACAUUUGAAAAUUUAGAGCGAAUAUUAACACCUUAUUUAAUAAGGACAGCAAACAGUGGAAGAUGUACUUUAAAUGUUCGCACACAAUUACUUGCAGUCUUGUGAUUGCUUGCAACUCCUGAUUCAUUCAGAUCUGUGUCUGAUCGCUUUGACAUCAGUAAAUUAAUGCUGCAUGAUUCCAUGAGAAGAGUUGUGGCUGCUUUGAAUAAUAUUGCUGAUAGAUUUAUUACAUGGCCUAAAGAUGAUCGAUUAAAUGAGAUAAAACAUCGAUUUCAGAUAUUGGCUCUCUUCCUAAUGUGAUUGGGGCAAUCGACGGAACUCAUAUUCCUAUUCCAGCACCCAUGGUUGAUUCUAUCUACUAUAGGACAAGAAAAAAACAAUAUGCUAUUACACUGCAGGCUGUGUGCGAUGCAAACUUAAUUAUCACGGAUUGUUUUGUCGGAUUUGCUGGAUCCGUUUAUGAUGCCAGGAUUUUCAGGAACUCUGAUCUUUGGCAUACAGUAGUAGCAAAUGAACAAGCCUUUUUUCCCAACAAUGAAUUUAUAAUAGGCACAGAUAAAUUUUAAUGAACAUUUGUCUAAAAUGAGGCAAGUUAUUGAAAGAGCGUUUGCCCUUCUUAAAGGAAGAUUUCGACGGUUAAAAUAUUUGCACAUNAGUUGCACAGAUUUGAUACCAUUUGUCAUUUUGGCAUGUUGCGUUCUCCAUAAUAUUUGCCUGGAAGAUUGUCAAGAUCUUAGAUGAUUUUAUAGACGACGACAUAGAACAGGAUCCUAACAAUGCUAAUGAGAAUAAUGUUAUUUUUGAUCAAUUAGCUAAUGACGCAAGAGGAUUGAUCUACCGCGAAUAUUUAACAGCUCUUGUAGCACAUAUUGUACCAUAAAUAGUAAAUAUAAUAGCAUAGCAGUCUUUAUCACAACCUUCAUAAUCUAUUUUUGUAGUAUAAGUACAUAUAAUAUAUUUUUUAUUUAAUGUUUGUAAUCAAGAGGCACGGUAGUGCCUCGCGCCAAGUUUCACGCGC